rnacentral:misc_RNA from 1 species
AGAAGAAUGGCAAGCUCACUUUGGCACUCAGUGGGAAGUUUUCGCACAGAGAAAAUCAACUUAUGACCCUUACGCAAUCCUAGCUCCUGGCCAAAGAAUCUUUAGAAGGAAAUAAGCCUUCGUAAAACUGUAUCUACUCAGGUAAGCCACAAAAUAAACGAAGUGCACGAGAACCAUAUGGAGCAAUGAUGCCUAUAACUGUAAAUCAUUAGAAGUCUUAAUACGUUGUUGAGUUUCCACAAGCAGCACUAGCUACUAGAUCAUUUGAGGGUUAAUUUCACCAAUAGCUUCUAAAGUUAUACCCUCAUUCAGCGCUAUGAUUGAACUUCAAUUUGUAACUCUAAAAUAAUUAAACUUUGUUAAUUGUAAUUGUCGUUAUGUUCGGCCAAACCAUGACCGCAGUAUUGGAAUAACAACCAUA